AGGGGGUUUGAUCAUUGGGCUCAGGAUGAACGCUAGCGGCAGGCUUAAUACAUGCAAGUCGAACGGUAACAGGUCCUUCGGGACGCUGACGAGUGGCGAACGGGUGAGUAACGCGUACGCAAUCUACCCCACACAGGAGGAUAGCCCCGGGAAACUGGGAUUAAUACUCCAUAGUAUUCAAGAUAGGCAUCUUAUUUGAAUUAAAACUUUGGUGGUGUGGGAUGAGCGUGCGUUCUAUUAGUUAGUUGGUGAGGUAACGGCUCACCAAGACCGCGAUAGAUAGCUGGCGUGAGAGCGCGACCAGCCACACUGGAACUGAGACACGGUCCAGACUCCUACGGGAGGCAGCAGUAGGGAAUAUUGGUCAAUGGAGGAAACUCUGAACCAGCCAUGCCGCGUGCAGGAUGACGGCCCUAUGGGUUGUAAACUGCUUUUAUCAGGGAAGAAACCUUCGGAUUUAUCCGAAGCUGACGGUACCUGAAGAAUAAGCACCGGCUAACUCCGUGCCAGCAGCCGCGGUAAUACGGAGGGUGCAAGCGUUAUCCGGAUUCACUGGGUUUAAAGGGUGCGCAGGCGGAUUAAUAAGUCAGUUGGUGAAAGCUUCGAGCUCAACUC
rnacentral:rRNA from 1 species